rnacentral:rRNA from 1 species
GACGAACGCUGGCGGCGUGCUUAACACAUGCAAGUCGAGCGGUAAGGCCCUUUCGGGGUACGACGAGCGGCGAACGGGUAGAGUAACACGUGGGUGGACCUCGCCCUCCAGCUCUGGGAGUAAGCCCGGGGAAACCGUGGGUCGUAAUACCGGAUAUGACUCCACGGUGCAUGUCGUGGGGUGGAAAGACCUUGUGCGGCUGAGGAUGGGCCCGCGGCCUAUCAGCUUGUUGGUGGGGUGAUGGCCUACCAAGGCGACGACGGGUAGCCGGCCUGAGAGGGCGACCGGCCACACUGGGACUGAGACACGGCCCAGACUCCUACGGGAGGCAGCAGUGGGGAAUCUUGCGCAAUGGGCGAAAGCCUGACGCAGCGACGCCGCGUGAGGGAUGACGGCCUGGUGUAA